UGGGGAAUUUUGGACAAUGGGCGCAAGCCUGAUCCAGCCAUGCCGCGUGUGUGAAGAAGGCCUUCGGGUUGUAAAGCACUUUCGGACGGAACGAAAUCGCGCGGUUGAAUAUCCCGCGUGGAUGACGGUACCGUAAGAAUAAGCAUCGGCUAACUUCGUGCCAGCAGCCGCGGUAAGACGAAGGAUGCAAGCGUUAUCCGGAUUCAUUGGGUUUAAAGGGUGCGUAGGCGGACUUGUAAGUCAGUGGUGAAAUCUCUUUGCUUAACAAAGAAACUGCCAUUGAUACUGCAGGUCUAGAGUAUAGAUGACGUUGGCGGAAUAUGACAUGUAGUGGUGAAAUACUUAGAUAUGUCAUAGAACACCGAUUGCGAAGGCAGCUAACGAAACUAUAACUGACGCUGAGGCACGAAAGUGCGGGGAUCAAACAGGAUUAGAUACCCCAGUAGUCCCUGAGCGGGCUGGCAAGGCGCAU
rnacentral:rRNA from 1 species